UGCAGUCUCUGCCCAUGCUCUAGGGA
rnacentral:piRNA from 1 species